AUGUUCGUUGGGGAUUCAACAUGGCGGCGGCAGUGGCGGUGGCGGUGGCGGCGCCAGAGAGUUGAGGGCAGCAGGAGGGCGCCGAGUUCCAGGCCGAGCGGCCAGGCCGCGAGCGACUGCGGUGCCGAGCCGGCUGCCGGCCGGAGCCCCGCUCUGCACUCUCCACGCGGAGAGCCUGGCGCCAUGUUCGGGAAGAAGAAGAAGCGGGUCGAGAUCUCUGCGCCGUCUAACUUCGAGCACCGCGUGCACACGGGCUUCGACCAGCAUGAGCAGAGGUUCACGGGGCUGCCCCGCCAAUGGCAGAGCCUGAUCGAGGAGUCGGCCCGCCGGCCCAAGCCCCUCAUCGACCCCGCCUGCAUCACCUCCAUCCAGCCUGGGGCCCCCAAGACCAUCGUGCGGGGCAGCAAAGGCGCCAAGGAUGGGGCCCUCACGCUGCUGCUCGACGAGUUCGAGAACAUGUCGGUGACGCGCUCCAACUCCCUGCGGAGAGACAGCCCGCCGCCACCUGCCCGUGCCCGCCAGGAAAACGGGAUGCCCGCGGAGCAGGCCGCUACGGCCAGAGGGGCCCCAGAGAAGGCGGGCAGCCAAGGCCGGGGAGCCGGUCAUGGCGAGGCGGGUGGCAGCAGUGGAGACAGGCGGCGGGCGGGGCCGGACAAGAGGCCCAAGUCUUCCAGGGAGGGCUCGGGAGGUCCCCAGGAGUCCUCCCGGGACAAGCGUCCCCUCUCUGGGCCUGACGUCGGCACCCCCCACCAACCCGCCAGUCUAGCCAGCGGGGCGAAAGUGGCGGCUGGCCGGCCCUUUAACACGUACCCGCGGGCCGACACGGACCACCCGUCCCGGGGCACCCAGGCGGAGCCUCACAACAUGGCCCCCAACGGGCCAUCGGUGGGGGGCCUGGCCAUCCCCCAGUCCUCCUCCUCCCGGCCCCCUGCCCGAGCCCAUGGCGCCCCCAGCCCUGGAGUGCUGGGCCCCCACGCCUCUGAGCCCCAGCUGGCCCCCCCAGCCCGCACCCUCACCGCCCCCGCAGGGCCCCCUGCCCCCGGGCCCCCCGGCCCCCGCUCACCGCAGCGGGAGCCCCAGCGAGUGUCCCACGAGCAGUUCCGGGCUGCCCUGCAGCUGGUGGUGGACCCCGGCGACCCCCGCUCCUACCUGGACAACUUCAUCAAGAUUGGCGAGGGCUCCACCGGCAUCGUGUGCAUCGCGACUGUGCGCAGCUCUGGCAGGCUGGUGGCCGUCAAGAAGAUGGACCUGCGCAAGCAGCAGCGGCGGGAGCUGCUCUUCAACGAGGUGGUGAUCAUGAGGGACUACCAGCAUGAGAACGUGGUGGAGAUGUACAACAGCUACCUGGUCGGGGACGAGCUCUGGGUGGUGAUGGAGUUCCUGGAGGGAGGUGCCCUCACCGACAUCGUCACGCACACCAGGAUGAACGAGGAGCAGAUCGCUGCUGUGUGCCUGGCCGUGCUGCAGGCCCUGUCCGUGCUCCACGCCCAGGGAGUCAUCCACCGGGACAUCAAGAGUGACUCCAUCCUGCUGACCCACGACGGCAGGGUGAAGCUGUCAGACUUCGGGUUCUGCGCCCAGGUGAGCAAGGAGGUGCCUCGGAGGAAGUCCCUAGUCGGCACACCCUACUGGAUGGCCCCAGAGCUCAUCUCCCGCCUGCCCUAUGGGCCAGAGGUGGACAUCUGGUCUCUGGGGGUGAUGGUGAUCGAGAUGGUGGACGGGGAGCCCCCUUACUUCAAUGAGCCACCCCUCAAAGCCAUGAAGAUGAUCCGGGACAACCUGCCACCCCGACUGAAGAACCUGCACAAGGUGUCACCGUCCCUGAAGGGCUUCCUGGACCGCCUGCUGGUGCGUGACCCAGCCCAGCGGGCCACAGCGGCCGAGCUGCUCAAACACCCGUUCCUGGCCAAAGCGGGCCCACCCGCCAGCAUCGUGCCCCUCAUGCGUCAGAACCGCACCCGAUGAGGCCCGGUGCCACCCCCACCCCUGAACCAAAGAGCCCCCUGGGUCACCCCUGCCU
rnacentral:lncRNA from 1 species